rnacentral:rRNA from 1 species
GAUGAACGCUGGCGGCGUGCCUAAUACAUGCAAGUCGAGCGAACGGACGAGAAGCUUGCUUCUCUGAUGUUAGCGGCGGACGGGUGAGUAACACGUGGAUAACCUACCUAUAAGACUGGGAUAACUUCGGGAAAUCGGAGCUAAUACCGGAUAAUAUUUUGAACCGCAUGGUUCAAAAGUGAAAGACGGUCUUGCUGUCACUUAUAGAUGGAUCCGCGCUGCAUUAGCUGGUUGGUAAGGUAACGGCUUACCAAGGCAACGAUGCAUAGCCGACCUGAGAGGGUGAACGGCCACACUGGAACUGAGACACGGUCACGACUCCUACGGGAGGCAGCAGUAGGGAAUCUUCCGCGAUGGGCGAAAGCCUGACGGAGCAACGCCGCGUGAGUGAUGAAGGUCUUCGGAUCGUAAAACUCUGUUAUUAGGGAAGAACAUAUGUGUAAGUAACUGUGCACAUCAUGACGGUACCUAAUCAGAAAGCCACGGCUAACUACGUG